GAUGAACGCUGGCGGCGUGCUUAACACAUGCAAGUCGAACGGAGUUAUUUUUAAAGCUUGCUUUUUAAAUAACUUAGUGGCGGACGGGUGAGUAACGCGUGGGGUAACCUGCCGUAUACAGGGGGAUAACACUUAGAAAUAGGUGCUAAUACCGCAUAAGCGCGCAGGACCGCAUGAUCCGGUGUGAAAAAACUCCGGUGGUAUACGAUGGACCCGCGUCUGAUUAGAUAGUUGGUGAGGUAACGGCCCACCAAGUCAACGAUCAGUAGCCGGCCUGAGAGGGUGAACGGCCACAUUGGGACUGAGACACGGCCCAAACUCCUACGGGAGGCAGCAGUGGGGAAUAUUGGACAAUGGGGGAAACCCUGAUCCAGCGACGCCGCGUGAGUGAAGACGGUUUUCGGAUUGGUAAAACCUCUGUUUCGGUGACGAACAAAUGACGGUAACCGAGUAGAAGCCACGGCUAACUACGUG
rnacentral:rRNA from 1 species